CCCCUUGAAACAGAAUAUAAGGGAGAGUAUACCAGCUAAGGGGGAGGCUGCUGGAGAGAAGGGAGAGCUGAGAGAAGAGAAGAGAGACUGUUUGCUGCUGAGUGUUGUAUCUCUCUUGAACCAGGGUGUGUUGAGCUCCAUAUGCCUGAAUGUCAACUUGCAGUUGUGGAAGUACCUUAACAACUUUAAUGCACAAUUUCAUCUUCAUAGCAGUAUGAAGUAUGGCAGAGAGAGGUGGGAAUAAACCGCGCCUGUGCCCCUGCUCUUCCUGUAUAGGCCACCACUGCUUCAUAACACCCCUGUGAGGAGGAAGAGGAGAGUGGCAAUCAGAGAACCAACUGCAGUGGCCGUAGUGGUAGGUUGCCAGGUCAAAAGAUCUUGUGCCUCUCAAAGUGGCACAGGGAGGAAAGUUCCACCAAAUGCUGUUUCCACCAUUGAUUGCAAGACAGGAUUCGGAGAGGCCAUACCCAGCAACUUUUAGCCUUCUUUGCCACUCUUAAAGAUACAGGGACUGGAGCUGGAAACCCUGUUCCCCACCCCAUUUGGGAGGAUUCAGAUUGCCUCUUUUGCUCCCUUUCCCUUACAGCUCUGUCAAUUAGAGAGCUACAACCAAAUAAGCUAUUUUAGCUACAUGACGCCUUCUUUGAUUAUUUUUUUUUCAGGAAAGCUUUAAUUUCAACAACAUGUUGGAACUCAGUGAUGAAAGGGUCCAGGUUCACUAAUCACUGUUCACCAUGUUGGCUUUGAUCUCUUCAAGAUCUCUUCCCUCUGUUCAUUAUAAUCUUCCAGAACUGACAUCUCCGAGGGGCCUGCAGGUGUCCAUUCAUCAAUGAGCUCAAAGUACAGUAUGCAACAUAGGGACUGAUUGUACUCAUUAGUUCUAGCUCACUGUAAAGGAAGGGAUGGGAAAAGAGAAAUCCCACAGAGGCAUUUGAUUUUACCUCCACAGCGCCUGAACUCUUUGUGCCUGUCCAUCUGGUGCUCCAUCUCUUUGCCAGCAUAAACAUUUUGUUCACAGAAGUUAUUCCUUUAAUCUUGCUAAUAGUGUACUCAUGCCAUGUCCACGCCCUAUUGUAGUAAUUAGUUGACUGUUGUCAUGGCGACAACUGCAGGUUUGUGGCCUGCUGGCAAUCCAGUCCUCUCCCAGCGUCGCCUCAUUGCCAUUUGCCACUUGAGGCAUUGUACUACCACCUCAAGUGGCAAACUGCACUUUAUUGCAACAAGCUCCCCUGCCCUCUUACAGCCCCACCCCCAGGCAGGGAUCAGUGCUGACAAAGCCCCGCCCCCAGCUCCACAUAGGAACACAGGAAGUUGCCUUAUACCAGGCCUGCUCAACUUAGGCCCCCGCCCCAGCUGUUUUUGGACUACAACUCCCAAAAUCCCCAUCCACAGUGGCCAAUAGCCAGGGAUUAUGGGAAUUAUAGGCCAACAUCUGCAGGAGGGCCAAAGUUGAGCAGCCCUGCCUUAUACCAAGUCAGAAAAUUGGUCUAUCUAGCUCAGUAUUGUCUACACUAACUGGCAGCAGCUUCUCCAAGCCAGCAGCUCCUUCAGCCUCAGAGGAAAAAUGCCUCUAAAUAGCAGUUGCAGGGGAGCAACAGCAAGAGAGAGGGCAUGCCCUCGGCUCUUGCCUUUGGGCUUUUCAGGGGCAUCUGGUGGGCCACUGUGGGAAUCAAGAUUCUGGACUAAAUAAGUCUUGGGUCUGAUCCAGCAGGCCUGUUCUUAUGUACUUAUGUUCUUAAGGCUUCAGGUAGGAGUCUUUCACAGCCCUGCCUGGAGAUGCCAGGGAUUGAACCUGGGGGGGCUAUUCAUCCCUCAGGGACAUAUCUGGGGAUGAUCAGAGGACUUCCAGGGUCAGGGGAGGUAAUUGAAAUCCAACCCUGCUCUGUUGUGAGCAAAGGCGUAUCUAGGGAAAACAGCGCCUAGGGCAAGCACUGAAAUUGCACCCUCCACCCCCCCAAAUAUCUGGCACCCAUCUUUCAGAUAACUUCACCAUAUCAGCUCAAAAAUAAAAGUCAAGCUUGUUAAUCUUUUAAUUAACAAAUUAUGGCACUAACUGAAAAUUAUAACUGCACCUUACUUGCUUUCACUGAUGCAAAAUGCUGAGGCAGCACAGAUAUAGCCUUCUUCAGAAAGCAGGAAUCACACCUAUCAGCUAUUCUGGAGACUGGAUGUAGUCCUUACAUUCCCUGAUCAGCAUGUUUAUUACAUUCCAAAUCCAUCAGUGUGUAUUAGCAACCCCCUGCCCGCCCCCCCAGCUGCUAUCUGCCAGCAAGCAGCAACAUUCACAUUUUUUAUAUCCCACUCUUCCUCCAAGGAGCCCAGAGCAGUGUACAUAAGUUUCUCCUCACAGCAACCCUGUGGAGUAGGUUAAGCUGAGAGAGAAGUGACUGGCCCAGAGGCACCCAGCAAGUCUCAUGGCUGAAUGGGGAUUUGAACUAGGGUCUCUCUGGUCCUAGUCCAGCACGCUAACCACUAUCAAGGCAGUGUGUGCACACCUGCAUUCGGAGUGGGGCCUUACAGCCUCAGUGCCUCCUCCAAAACACAAGUCAGCCUACAUGCACAUACAGCUACAACAUGCAAUAAAAACAAACAAAAAACUUGAGCAGGCAGGGCUAUUGCUGAGGAAUCUCAAGGUUAGGGCAAGGAAGAGAGAGAAACUAAAAAAUUAAUUCUUAAGGGGUAUACUUAUGAACAAUUCUGGAAUGUUAAUCAAACUGUUCCCUCCUUUCCCCUUCCAAUACAUCAGAGCAAACAGCAUAGGAAGAGAGAUUUUGUUUAUCCAUGUGCCCAUUUUUAAAAUUUAUAUUUACACUUAUAUCCCUCUCUUCUUCCAAGGAGCUCAGAGUGGUAUACAUGGGUUUUUUUAUCCUCACAACAGCCCUGUGAGGUAGGUUAGGCUGAGAGAUACAUGACUGGCCCAAAGACAAACAGUGAGAUUCAUGGUUGAAUGAGGAUUCAAACUCAGGUCUUCCCGAUCCUAGUCCAACACUCUAACCACUACACUAUGCUGGCUCUCAGGAAAAGUCACAAAGAAAUCCAUCAAUUACACUUGUAUUCAUCUGCCUCAUAGAAGCGGUCUCUGCAGAUUAAGCUUUUUAAGGUUUCUUUUGGUGACUGCAUUGUUUAUGCACAUUAAUACAAGUCUAUUUCUACAUUUGUGUGCAUGCCUGGCAGUAAAUGAAAAACCUAUUGUAAGUUCUAGAAAGUGUCUUCAACUUUCAGAUGUAAAACAAUCUUUUUCACUUACAUUUACAAUUACAAGCCUUUUUCAAUUACACAUGAUUUACUGCACAUUUUAAUAGUCAACUCUUUUAAAAGAUAAGACUUAAAUCACAAAAUCAAUUUUUAACAAACUGGUGCUGCUGGAAGGGCAAGCCAGCACAGCUAAGUACCUACUCUCCUCUCCUCCCCUCCCCUCUAACCCCCUCUAACAACAGAGCACAGAGAAAAGUCCACCCAAAGAAAGGAAGGUGGGAUUUGAGCGGGAUGGGGAGAGGGAUUGCCUGCAGAAUGUUGCUUACUGAAUAAGGACCACACCUUUGAGUGAAGAGCUACUUUCACACAGCAAGCCUGCUUUGA